CUGUGGAUGAGACCCAACCAGGUCGAAACAGCUGUCCUACAG
rnacentral:hammerhead_ribozyme from 1 species